UACGUAGGGGGCAAGCGUUGUCCGGAAUCAUUGGGCGUAAAGAGCGUGUAGGCGGCUCGGUAAGUCCGCUGUGAAAGCCCAGGGCUCAACCCUGGAAUGCCGGUGGAAACUGUCGAGCUAGAGUCCGGAAGAGGCGAGUGGAAUUCCUGGUGUAGCGGUGAAAUGCGCAGAUAUCAGGAGGAACACCGAUGGCGAAGGCAGCUCGCUGGGACGGUACUGACGCUGAGACGCGAAAGCGUGGGGAGCAAACAGG
rnacentral:rRNA from 1 species